rnacentral:rRNA from 1 species
UACGUAGGGUGCAAGCGUUAAUCGGAAUUACUGGGCGUAAAGCGUGCGCAGGCGGUUUUGUAAGACAGAUGUGAAAUCCCCGGGCUCAACCUGGGAACUGCAUUUGUGACUGCAAGGCUAGAGUACGGCAGAGGUGAGUGGAAUUCCGAGUGUAGAGGUGAAAUUCGUAGAUAUGCGGAGGAACACCGAUGGCGAAGGCAAUCCCCUGGGCCUGUACUGACGCUCAUGCACGAAAGCGUGGGGAGCAAACAGG